UUUCAAAAAUACUUGGUACAUAUUCUUAAUGGCACUUGGUUUCUUAAUCUACACACUGUUGUGAGAAUUUGUUCUGGGAGAUUCUUGUCUAAAUGGUACCUGGUUAUAAAACUCUUUCACUAAGUUUAACGCUUUUUUGUGACAGUACAAGCUGCUAUAUAGCUUCCAUAAAUCAUCUGCAUUGUAAAUUUGGUCAGCAAACGAAUAUUACGCCCAGUUUAAUCUACAAAUACCAAAGAAUUUCAUUGAGCAAGAAGAAUAAAAUAGAACAGUGACGUCAGCAAAAAAUUAUGCAUUGUAACUUUGACGAGACUUUAAGAAGAUUGUUAACUUAAAUUAAAAAUAGAUGGGGAGCUAGAAUAGUUCCAUUAAGGACCCCAAACUGGAUUUUCAGCUGUUUCGAGUUGUUAAUGUAAUUUAUACUAACAUGUUGUUGUAAUGUAGCAAAACAUUUCUUAGUUUGAUUUUUAAUGCCA